rnacentral:ncRNA from 2 species
AUGGAGGUCUCUGUCUGACUUAG